rnacentral:rRNA from 1 species
AUUGAACGCUGGCGGCAGGCCUAACCCAUGCAAGUCGAGCGAGGGGCGGACGGUUGAGUAAUGUCGUGGAAACUGCCUGAUGGAGGGGGCUACCUACUGGAAACGGUAGCUAAUACCGCAUACCAUCCGAUGUGCCCAGAUGGGAUUAGCUAGUAGGUGGGGUAACGGCUCACCUAGGCGACGAUCCCUAGCUGGCAUGAGAGGAUGACCAGCCAAACUGGAACGUAGACACGGGCCAGACUCCUAAGGGAGGCAGCAGCGGGGAAGAUUGAAACAGGGGCGAAAGCCUGAUGCAGCCGUGGCGGGUGUGUGAAGAAGGGCUUCGGGUUGUAAAGCACUUUAAGCGGGGAGGCUUUAAGGGCAGAAGAAGCAGCGGCUAGCUCAGUGCCAGCAGCCGCGGUAAUUC